rnacentral:lncRNA from 1 species
CAGGCCCUCCGACGGUGGCUCCGUGCCCUCAAAAGAAGGAUGCCUCGCUGGACCACGGACCCGCCAGGUUCUCCCGCAACUUGCGGAGCUCCUGGACCGGCCCUUCCCAGAGGCGCAGCGCUGAGUCCCAGGAGCAGGACCUGAACCAGGAAGGGGAGGGGCGAGCACAGUCCUGCCUCCUCCUCCCCGCACAGUGCUGGGGGAAUGACCCCCACUGCCUUCUUCUCCUCCCCCAACACUGCAGGGGGAAUGACCCCCACUGCCUCCUCCUCCCA